rnacentral:rRNA from 1 species
ACUCCUACGGGAGGCAGCAGUGGGGAAUAUUGCACAAUGGGGGAAACCCUGAUGCAGCAACGCCGCGUGAGUGAUGACGGUCUUCGGAUUGUAAAGCUCUGUCUUUAGGGACGAUAAUGACGGUACCUAAGGAGGAAGCCACGGCUAACUACGUGCCAGCAGCCGCGGUAAUACGUAGGUGGCAAGCGUUAUCCGGAAUUAUUGGGCGUAAAGGGAGCGUAGGUGGAUAUUUAAGUGGGAUGUGAAAUACUCGGGCUUAACCUGGGUGCUGCAUUCCAAACUGGAUAUCUAGAGUGCAGGAGAGGAAAGGAGAAUUCCUAGUGUAGCGGUGAAAUGCGUAGAGAUUAGGAAGAAUACCAGUGGCGAAGGCGCCUUUCUGGACUGUAACUGACACUGAGGCUCGAAAGCGUGGGGAGCAAACAGGAUUAGAUACCCUGGUAGUCA